UGGGGAAUAUUGCGCAAUGGGGGAAACCCUGACGCAGCGACGCCGCGUGAGCGAAGAAGGCCUUAGGGUUGUAAAGCUCUGUUUUAGGGGACGAAUGUCGUGGGGAGUAAUAUGCCUGUGAAAUGACGGUACCCUAAGAGGAAGCCCCGGCUAACUACGUGCCAGCAGCCGCGGUAAGACGUAGGGGGCGAGCGUUGUCCGGAAUUACUGGGCGUAAAGAGCACGUAGGCGGGAACCUAAGUCAGGUGUGAAAGACCGUGGCUCAACCACGGGGUGGCAUUUGAAACUGGGUUUCUUGAGGGCAGGAGAGGAAAGCAGAAUUCCUGGUGUAGCGGUGAAAUGCGUAGAAAUCAGGAGGAAUACCAGUGGCGAAGGCGGCUUUCUGGACUGACCCUGACGCUGAGGUGCGAAAGCGUGGGUAGCAAACAG
rnacentral:rRNA from 1 species